GAAAUGCGAUAAGUAAUGUGAAUUGCAGAAUUCAGUGAAUCAUCGAAUCUUUGAACGAACCUUGCGCUCCUUGGUAUUCCUUGGAGCAUGCCUGUUUGAGUAUCAUGAAAUCUUCAAAGUAAAUCUUUUGUUAACUCAAUUGGUUUCUACUUUGGUAUUGGAGGUCUUUGCAGCUUCCCACCUGCUCCUCUUUGUUCAUUAGCUGGAUCUCAGUGUUAUGCUUGGUUCCACUCGGCGUGAUAAGUUAUCUAUCGCUGAGGACACUGUAAAAGGUGGCCAAGGUAAAUGCAGAUGAACCGCUUCUAAUAGUCCAUUGACUUGGACAAUACUUUUAUGAUCUGAUCUCAAAUCAGGUAGGACUACCCGCUGAACUUAAGC
rnacentral:misc_RNA from 1 species